rnacentral:rRNA from 1 species
AUUGAACGCUGGCGGCAUGCCUAACACAUGCAAGUCGAACGAGUGGCGGACGGGUGAGUAAUGUCUGGGAAACUGCCUGAUGGAGGGGGAUAACUACUGGAAACGGUAGCUAAUACCGCAUACCAUCAGAUGUGCCCAGAUGGGAUUAGCUUGUUGGUGGGGUAACGGCUCACCAAGGCGACGAUCCCUCGCUGGUCUGAGGGGAUGCCCAGCCACACUGGAACUGAGACACGGUCCAGACUCCUACGGGAGGCAGCAGUGGGGAAUAGGGGACAAUGGGCGAAAGCCUGAUGCAGCCAUGCCGAGUGUAUGAAGAAGGCCUUCGGGUUGGAAAGUACUUUCAGCGGGGAGGCGGUACCGGCAGAAGAAGCACCGGCUAACUCCGUGCCAGCAGCCGCGGUAAUAC